rnacentral:rRNA from 1 species
AGAGUUUGAUCCUGGCUCAGGACGAACGCUGGCGGCGUGCCUAAUACAUGCAAGUCGAACGAAACUUUCUUACACCGAAUGCUUGCAUUCACCGUAAGAAGUUGAGUGGCGGACGGGUGAGUAACACGUGGGUAACCUGCCUAAAAGAAGGGGAUAACACUUGGAAACAGGUGCUAAUACCGUAUAUCUCUAAGGAUCGCAUGAUUCUUAGAUGAAAGAUGGUUCUGCUAUCGCUUUUAGAUGGACCCGCGGCGUAUUAACUAGUUGGUGGGGUAACGGCCUACCAAGGUGAUGAUACGUAGCCGAACUGAGAGGUUGAUCGGCCACAUUGGGACUGAGACACGGCCCAAACUCCUACGGGAGGCAGCAGUAGGGAAUCUUCCACAAUGGACGCAAGUCUGAUGGAGCAACGCCGCGUGAGUGAAGAAGGUCUUCGGAUCGUAAAACUCUGUUGUUAGAGAAGAACACGAGUGAGAGUAACUGUUCAUUCGAUGACGGUAUCUAACCAGCAAGUCACGGCUAACUACGUGCCAGCAGCCGCGGUAAUACGUAGGUGGCAAGCGUUGUCCGGAUUUAUUGGGCGUAAAGGGAACGCAGGCGGUCUUUUAAGUCUGAUGUGAAAGCCUUCGGCUUAACCGGAGUAGUGCAUUGGAAACUGGAAGACUUGAGUGCAGAAGAGGAGAGUGGAACUCCAUGUGUAGCGGUGAAAUGCGUAGAUAUAUGGAAGAACACCAGUGGCGAAAGCGGCUCUCUGGUCUGUAACUGACGCUGAGGUUCGAAAGCGUGGGUAGCAAACAGGAUUAGAUACCCUGGUAGUCCACGCCGUAAACGAUGAAUGCUAGGUGUUGGAGGGUUUCCGCCCUUCAGUGCCGCAGCUAACGCAAUAAGCAUUCCGCCUGGGGAGUACGACCGCAAGGUUGAAACUCAAAGGAAUUGACGGGGGCCCGCACAAGCGGUGGAGCAUGUGGUUUAAUUCGAAGCAACGCGAAGAACCUUACCAGGUCUUGACAUCCUUU